AUUGAACGCUGGCGGCAGGCCUAACACAUGCAAGUCGAGCGGAUGAUGGGAGCUUGCUCCUGGAUUCAGCGGCGGACGGGUGAGUAAUGCCUAGGAAUCUGCCUGGUAGUGGGGGAUAACGUCCGGAAACGGGCGCUAAUACCGCAUACGUCCUGAGGGAGAAAGUGGGGGAUCUUCGGACCUCACGCUAUCAGAUGAGCCUAGGUCGGAUUAGCUAGUUGGUGGGGUAAAGGCCUACCAAGGCGACGAUCCGUAACUGGUCUGAGAGGAUGAUCAGUCACACUGGAACUGAGACACGGUCCAGACUCCUACGGGAGGCAGCAGUGGGGAAUAUUGGACAAAGGGCGAAAGCCUGAUCCAGCCAUGCCGCGUGUGUGAAGAAGGUCUUCGGACUGUAAAGCACUUUAAGUUGGGAGGAAGGGCAGUAAGUUAAUACCUUGCUGUUUUGACGUUACCAACAGAAUAAGCACCGGCUAACUUCGUG
rnacentral:rRNA from 1 species